rnacentral:lncRNA from 1 species
GGUGUUGGUCCCAUUUUGUGAAUUCCUGGUUGGUGAGCGGACCCCAGACCUCACAACCACAAAGGGCAAUGGGUUCUAUAACUGAUUCAAGUGUUUUUAGCCAGAUCCUAAUUGGGAUGUCAAAUUUUAUGUUCCUUUUGAUGGCGUAGAAGGCCCUUAUUGCCUUGUCUCUCAGAUCGAUCACAGCUUUGUGGAAGUUACCUGUGGCGCUGAUGUUUAGGCCGAGGUACCUAUACGUUUUUGUGUUCUCUAGAGCAACGGUGUCUAGAUGGAAUUUGUAUUUGUGGUCCUGGCAACUGGACCAUUAUUUUUGUCUUGCUGAGAUUUACCGUCACGGCCCAGGUCUGUCAGGGCCCAGGUCUGUCACGGCCCAGGUCUGAGAGAAUAUGUGCAGAAGAUCUAGGUGUUGCUGUAGGCCCUCCUUGGUUGGGGACAGAUCUAGGUGCUGCUGUAGGCCCUCCUUGGUUUGGGGACAGAUCUAGGUGCUGCUGUAGGCCCUCCUUGGUUUGGGGACAGAUCUAGGUGCUGCUGUAGGCCCUCCUUGGUUGGGGACAGAUCUAGGUGUUGCUGUAGGCCCUCCUUGGUUGGGGACAGAUCUAGGUGCUGCUGUAGGCCCUCCUUGGUUUGGGGACAGAUCUAGGUGCUGCUGUAGGCCCUCCUUGGUUGGGGACAGAUCUAGGUGCUGCUGUAGGCCCUCCUUGGUUUGGGG